rnacentral:rRNA from 1 species
UGAGACGUAGGGAGCGAGCGUUGUCCGGAUUCAUUGGGCGUAAAGCGCGCGUAGGCGGCCCGAUAAGUCGGAUGUGAAAUCCCGGAGCUCAACUCCGGAACUGCACCCGAUACUGUCGGGCUCGAGGUAGGUAGGGGAGAUCGGAAUUCCUGGUGUAGCGGUGGAAUGCGCAGAUAUCAGGAGGAACACCGGUGGCGAAGGCGGAUCUCUGGGCCUU